UCUUCCCCAACCCCUUUCUCUACUCCUAUCUCAGGUUUGCAGGGAGGACACUGACCAGUGGGAGCCUGGUUCUGCUGACUCUGGAUGCCCGGCCAACUGGAACUGCCCAGCUGAUUGUCAACAGUGAGAAGAUGGUAAUUGGUACCAUGCUGGUGAAGGAUGUUAUUCAAGCUCUCACCCAGUAACUCCCAAAUGCUGUGAUGCUGAGACCUCUUUGGUCCUCACAUACCCUUCCUCCAUGACAUCUAAGCUAUUAGUCCCUUUCUUUCUCUUUCUUUGUGUCCUAUCAGCUUCCUCAUGCCAGAUAGCAUCUGGAAUGGGGUCUUCUCUCCCUCAGUAGUCUUUACUAUGCCUUCCCCCAAACCCUUCCUCAUGGGUUCCUCAGUGACCUGUGCAGAGGGAGACAGUAUCUGCUGUCUUCAGCCCUUCCAGCUUUCUGUAGCUAUUUGUAUAGUAAAAUCUCAAUAAAAUGUCUUCUCCCUAGAUGUUGA
rnacentral:lncRNA from 1 species